rnacentral:rRNA from 1 species
GACGAACGUUGGCGGCGUGCUUAAUACAUGCAAGUCAACUGAAGCAGUGGUAGCAAUAUCGCUGUGGAGGUGGCGCACGGGUGAGUAACACGUAGGUAAUCUGCCUUCAGGUCUGGCAUAACUCCGGGAAACCGGGGCUAAUAGCAGAUGAUGCAGCGGCUCGACAUCGAGACAGUUGUUAAAGCUAUGGCGCCUGAAGAUGAGCCUGCGUCUGAUUAGCUAGUUGGCGGGGUAACGGCCCACCAAGGCAACGAUCAGUAGCUGGUCUGAGAGGAUGAUCAGCCACACUGGAACUGAGACACGGUCCAGACUCCUACGGGAGGCAGCAGUAAGGAAUAUUGCUCAAUGGGAGAAAUCCUGAAGCAGCAACGCCGCGUGAGGGACGAAGGGCUUUUGCUUGUAAACCUCUGUAGUGAGAGAAAAAAAUCCCAAUCUUUGGGACAUGAUGGUAUCUCAAAAGUAAGCCCCGGCUAACGACGUG